UACCACCACGCUUAUACGAUUGC
rnacentral:siRNA from 1 species